GGCUAUGAAGGCAGUUUGGCAGUGACAUCUGUUAACAGGGUUACUUUGGCUGAUCUGAUUGCUAGGCACCUGUCCCUUUCCUCACCACUCCUUUCUCAGUCUUGAGCUGAGAUCUGUCACAGAGAAGAUCUUUCCGAAGAGAGGACAACCUGCCUUCUGUCAAGGUUACACAAGCAGCUGCUCUCACCCCUCCUGGCUGGAGCUUCCAAACAAGCUCUUCAGAUUAGAGGACUAGAACUAGUUAUUAAUA
ensembl:misc_RNA 7SK 7SK RNA